rnacentral:tRNA from 2 species
UCCUCGGUAGCUCAAUCUGGCAGAGCGGCCGGCUGUUAACCGGUUGGUUGCAGGUUCGAGUCCUGCCCGAGGAGCCA